rnacentral:rRNA from 1 species
UGGGGAAUAUUGGACAAUGGGCGCAAGCCUGAUCCAGCCAUGCCGCGUGAGUGAUGAAGGCCCUAGGGUUGUAAAGCUCUUUCACCGGUGAAGAUAAUGACGGUAACCGGAGAAGAAGCCCCGGCUAACUUCGUGCCAGCAGCCGCGGUAAUACGAAGGGGGCUAGCGUUGUUCGGAUUUACUGGGCGUAAAGCGCACGUAGGCGGACUAUUAAGUCAGGGGUGAAAUCCCGGGGCUCAACCCCGGAACUGCCUUUGAUACUGGUAGUCUUGAGUUCGAGAGAGGUGAGUGGAAUUCCGAGUGUAGAGGUGAAAUUCGUAGAUAUUCGGAGGAACACCAGUGGCGAAGACGGCUCACUGGCUCGAUACUGACGCUGAGGUGCGAAAGCGUGGGGAGCAAACAGG